ACUUUUCAGUCUUCUUUCUAUACUUGUUCCGUGGAGUCGCAAAAAUUCCUAUAGUUGUUCGAAAUAAAUAACAAAAAGGCAAAUAAUAAAAAGAAAAAAUAAAUAUCAGUGUAAAAAUUAAAAAAAGCUAAUUACCUAUAUCUAAAGCAUUCAAUUACAAAAAAGAAGUUAGUAGUUUUUGUUAAAGUUUUAGUGAAAAAAGUGAGUGUUUAAUUGGUUUAUUUUACAAGAUUUUGUAAGAAAAUUAUAACAAAAAGAAGUCCCGCGGCUGUUAACAUCUUUUGGAGUAACAACAAUAAAAACAAAAACAACAACUUCAGCAUACCCAUACAAAAGCAAGGAUUAUAAACAAAACAAAAAACGAGAAAAAAAAACAUCAACAGCAAAGACAACAACAACUUUGUAAUAAAAAAAGAUCUUUUUGUCAGCCCCCAAAAUCAACAGGAGAAUUAAAUACUAUUACUGCAACAACAACAACAACAGCGUUAUAAAAAGUAAAAGAACAAAAACAUAUAUAAACAUCAAAACAAAACCCAAAAAAAGAAAAAGUCAAUUGCAAAAACAAAAAUAACAAUAAGAACAAGAGAAGUAGUAAUUACAGCAAAUAAAAAUCAUUUGCUUCGUUUCGUUUUUCUGGACAAUUCGUUCGGUGUGUUAUUGGAAAACUUAUUAGAUUUAUUUCUUAAUUAAAUUAAAGAAAAAAACAAUUUAAAUCACAGUUUCUACUUAAAUUAGUAAAAAAUCAAACAAAAGAAAAAUGAAUAAAACCUGUGCUCGCUGCCAAAAGGUGGUUUAUCCCAUUGAGGAACUUAAGUGUCUGGAUAAGACAUGGCAUAAUAACCUGCUUCAAAUGUACAGAAUGUGGAAUGACAUUGAAUAUGAAAACAUAUAAAGGAUUAAUAAAUUACCAUAUUGUUGAAGCGUAAGUACUGAAAUGAUUUACAAAUACAAAGAAAUUUUAAAUA